rnacentral:rRNA from 1 species
GUGCCAGCAGCCGCGGUAAGACGUAGGGGGCGAGCGUUGUCCGGAUUUACUGGGCGUAAAGCGCGCGUAGGCGGCCCGUUAAGUCGGAGGUGAAAACCCAGGGCUCAACCCUGGGCCUGCACCCGAUACUGGCGGGCUCGAGGCAGGUAGGGGAGAGCGGAAUUCCCGGUGUAGCGGUGAAAUGCGCAGAUAUCGGGAGGAACACCGGUGGCGAAGGCGGCUCUCUGGGCCUGUCCUGACGCUCAUGCGCGAAAGCUAGGGGAGCAAACAGGAUUAGAAACCCCCGUAGUCC